rnacentral:lncRNA from 1 species
CAAUAAAAAGAAUAAAAAAUAAAAAGGGCUGGGGAUGUGGCAGCUAAACACCCCUGGGUUCAAUCCCUGGUUAAAAAACAAACAGACAAACAUAAAAUGAUCAAAUAAUGCCAAACUGAUGAGCUAUUACAGACAAUAGAAAUUAGCUCUCAAGGAUGCCACCUCACAUUUCUUCUCAAGGUGGGCCAGAACCAGAGUGAGGUGGGUGAGUAGCUUAGGGCUUCACAUUUAAGGAGGCAACCCCUGUCCAGGUCAUGUGAAUGCAGGGUAAGCACCUCCUUAAGAAUGUGCCAGAGCUACCUUACUCUUCCUUUUCUAGUCCCCAACCUGUUUCCAAGUUUCCACCACAAAUUUCAAAACAAAGUUCUCCUAGAAGCUGACUUCAAGAUAGAGUUUGAGCACAGUGGUUUAAUUUGGAGGUGCAGGGACCAAUGGAUGGGAGUGGGAAAGUGAUGGGGGGAAGGAGAGGCUGCCAAUGACAUGUUGUUGUGGGCUGACUUGAAAGUGAAGUCAGGCUGACCCCGUUCUGCUCAGACAUCUCACCCUGCACAGAAUUGGCCUCUUUCUGCAUGAGCCCACUCAAAUAGAAGCUGACACUCCUACCCACUUGCACCCUGAUCACAAUAUCUUUAAACUAUGGAGCUGGUGCUAGCUUCGUUUCUGAGUAGGUAUAGGAGGUGCCAAUUCUGAGAACUUGGUGACACUUUAUGAAAUAUGUCUUGUGAUUGUACUUGCCUCUCUGGCCCCCCUUCUUUGUGUUUUUUUCUGUUUUUAUGUGGCCCCAUCACCCACAUUCGGUGUCUUGGCCACGGCACUGUCUGCUUUCUGCUCCCUUGGCCCUGGUCAGAAUAAAUCCUUUGUCUUUGCUUCAAAAAAGACCCAGAGUUUGAUUUGGGAUUUUGGAAUAGAGCACCUUAACAUUGUGAGUUCUUAUACGAGCUCCCCCUGUAGAGACCUAUACCCCUGGGGAACCCAGUGAGUGAAAGCGACCCCUCAGAUUCAUACUAUCUGAGGGGAAAAAAAAGAGCUGAAGUUUUUACACACCACUUCUGAACCAUCUGUUGAGAGCUGUGGCACAUUUGUGCAAAAGCCCUCAGGCAUAAAGAUGCAGAUACUGAAACUUUAAGGUCUGUGGGAUCCUGGGUAUGGUAUGGGGUGAGGGCAAUGAC